UGCCGUGCCGGCGGGGUGGGGGCGCGGGGAGCCCGACACGCCCCCUCGGCGGCGCUCGGCUUCCCCGGCGCGGCGG